rnacentral:rRNA from 1 species
UACGAAGGGGGCUAGCGUUGCUCGGAAUCACUGGGCGUAAAGCGCACGUAGGCGGAUUGUUAAGUCAGGGGUGAAAUCCUGGAGCUCAACUCCAGAACUGCCUUUGAUACUGGCGAUCUUGAGUCCGGGAGAGGUGAGUGGAACUGCGAGUGUAGAGGUGAAAUUCGUAGAUAUUCGCAAGAACACCAGUGGCGAAGGCGGCUCACUGGCCCGGUACUGACGCUGAGGUGCGAAAGCGUGGGAGCAAGAGG